CUGCUACACAUGCAGUCGAACGGAAACAGCUCGAAGCUUGCUUUGGACUGUUUUAGUGGCGGACGGGUGAGUAACGCGUGAGGAACCUGCCUUUCAGAGGGGGAUAACGUCUGGAAACGGACGCUAAUACCGCAUGACAUCAGAGAGUCACAUGGUUUUCUGAUCAAAGGAGCAAUCCGCUGAAAGAUGGACUCGCGUCCGAUUAGCCAGUUGGCGGGGUAAAGGCCCACCAAAGCAACGAUCGGUAGCCGGACUGAGAGGUUGAACGGCCACAUUGGGACUGAGACACGGCCCAGACUCCUACGGGAGGCAGCAGUGGGGGAUAUUGCACAAUGGAGGAAACUCUGAUGCAGCAACGCCGCGUGAGGGAAGAAGGUCUUCGGAUUGUAAACCUUUGUCCCCGGUGACGAUAAUGACGGUAGCCGAGGAGGAAGCUCCGGCUAACUACGUGCCAGCAGCCGCGGUAAUACGUAGGGAGCGAGCGUUGUCCGGAUUUACUGGGUGUAAAGGGUGCGUAGGCGGCAAUGCAAGUCAGAUGUGAAAACUAUGGGCUUAACUCAUAGAUUGCAUUUGAAACUGUGUUGCUUGAGUGAAGUAGAGGCAGGCGGAAUUCCCGGUGUAGCGGUGAAAUGCGUAGAGAUCGGGAGGAACACCAGUGGCGAAGGCGGCCUGCUGGGCUUUAACUGACGCUGAGGCACGAAAGCAUGGGUAGCAAACAGGAUUAGAUACCCUGGUAGUCCAUGCCGUAAACGAU
rnacentral:rRNA from 1 species